CAAAAGUACUGUUUUACAGGUCUAAUCAUAUAGCUCAUAUCCAUCGUCGAUUACCAGAGGGUGAUUUUCAGGCAAUCACCACAGAGGCAGGUGAACGUUUUCUACCUGAAUAAAAUUGAUGAAGAAGAACUAAAUCAGCAGAUAUUAUCCAUAUCUGCUACUCAAAAGACCUUAUGCCUUUUGAGUCCCUCCAUAUACUCGACUAAAAGCUCAGGCUGAAGAAGAGCAAAUUCAACAGGAUAGGCGUAAGGCAGAGAAAUUACAGGCUGCAGAGGACUCUGGAUUGGAAUCUGGCAAUGAGGAUGACAAAGACAACGUCAAAGACUCCUUGUGGGUUGAAGUAUACAAACCCAAGCAUUAUCUUGACCUUCUUAGUGAUGAGUCUACCAAUCGUAUUGUACUGCAGUGGGUGAA